rnacentral:rRNA from 1 species
AUUGAACGCUGGCGGCAGGCCUAACACAUGCAAGUCGAACGAGUGGCGGACGGGUGAGUAAUGUCUGGGAAACUGCCUGAUGGAGGGGGAUAACUACUGGAAACGGUAGCUAAUACCGCAUACCAUCAGAUUUGCCCAGAUGGGAUUGGCUUGUUGGUGGGGUAACGGCUCACCAAGGCGACGAUCCCUAGCUGGUCUGAGAGGAUGACCAGCAACACGGGAAUUGAGACACGGUCCAGACUCCAAGGGGAGGCAGAGGUGGGGAAUAUGGGCCAAGGGGCGCAGGCUUGAUGCAGACAUGCCGCGGGUAGGAAGAAGGCCUUCGGGUUGUAAAGUACUUUCAGCGGGGAGGCGUUACCCGCAUAAGAAGCACCGGCUAACUCCGUGCCAGCAGCCGCGGUAAUUC